AUCGUAUUGACGGGUACAGUGGUGUU
rnacentral:piRNA from 1 species